rnacentral:rRNA from 1 species
GACGAACGCUGGCGGCGUGCUUAACACAUGCAAGUCGAACGGAAAGGCCCUGCUUUUGUGGGGUGCUCGAGUGGCGAACGGGUGAGUAACACGUGAGUAACCUGCCCUUGACUUUGGGAUAACUUCAGGAAACUGGGGCUAAUACCGGAUAGGAGCUCCUGCUGCAUGGUGGGGGUUGGAAAGUUUCGGCGGUUGGGGAUGGACUCGCGGCUUAUCAGCUUGUUGGUGGGGUAGUGGCUUACCAAGGCUUUGACGGGUAGCCGGCCUGAGAGGGUGACCGGACACAUUGGGACUGAGAUACGGCCCAGACGCCUACGGGAGGCAGCAGUGGGGAAUAUUGCACAAUGGGCGGAAGCCUGAUGCAGCAACGCCGCGUGCGGGAUGACGGCCUUCGGGUUGUAAACCGCUUUCGCCUGUGACGAAGCGUUAGUGACGGUAAUGGGUAAAGAAGCACCGGCUAACUACGUG